AAAUUGAAGAGUUUGAUCAUGGCUCAGAUUGAACGCUGGCGGCAGGCCUAACACAUGCAAGUCGAACGGUAACAGGAAGCAGCUUGCUGCUUUGCUGACGAGUGGCGGACGGGUGAGUAAUGUCUGGGAAACUGCCUGAUGGAGGGGGAUAACUACUGGAAAUGGUGGCUAAUACCGCAUAACGUCGCAAGACCAAAGAGGGGGACCUUCGGGCCUCUUGCCAUCAGAUGUGCCCAGAU
rnacentral:rRNA from 1 species